rnacentral:rRNA from 1 species
UGCAGUCGGACGGGAUUCGGGACAGAGCUUGCUUUGUCCUGAUGAGAGUGGCGCACGGGUGCGUAACGCGUGAGCAACCUGCCCCUGUCAGGGGUAUAGCCCCUCGAAAGAGGGAUUAACACCGCAUGACGAUAUCCCCCGGCAUCGGGGGAUGUCCAAAUAUUCAUAGGACAGGGAUGGGCUCGCGUGGCAUUAGCUAGUUGGUUGGGUAACGGCUGACCAAGGCUACGAUGCCUAGGGGCUCUGAGAGGAGAAUCCCCCACACUGGUACUGAGACACGGACCAGACUCCUACGGGAGGCAGCAGUAAGGAAUAUUGGUCAAUGGAGGGAACUCUGAACCAGCCAUGCCGCGUGCAGGACGAAGGCCCUACGGGUCGUAAACUGCUUUUGCCGGGGAACAACCGUCCCGACGUGUCGGGGCCUGAGUGUACCCGGAGAAUAAGGAUCGGCUAACUCCGUGCCAGCAGCCGCGGUAAUACGGAGGAUCCGAGCGUUAUCCGGAUUUAUUGGGUUUAAAGGGUGCGUAGGCGGCUUUCUAAGUCAGGGGUGAAAUACAGCGGCUCAACCGUUGCAGUGCCUUUGAUACUGGAGGGCUUGAAUGUGGUCGAAGGCGGCGGAAUGGGACAAGUAGCGGUGAAAUGCAUAGAUAUGUCCCAGAACCCCGAUAGCGAAGGCAGCUGCCUA